rnacentral:rRNA from 1 species
CCUACGGGAGGCAGCAGUCGAGAAUCAUUCACAAUGGGGGAAACCCUGAUGGUGCGACGCCGCGUGGGGGAAUGAAGGUCUUCGGAUUGUAAACCCCUGUCAUGUGGGUGCAAAUUAAAAAGAUAGUACCACAAGAGGAAGAGACGGCUAACUCUGUGCCAGCAGCCGCGGUAAUCCAGAGGUCUCAAGCGUUGUUCGGAAUCACUGGGCGUAAAGCGUGCGUAGGCGGUUUCGUAAGUCGUGUGUGAAAGGCGCGGGCUCAACCCGCGGACGGCACAUGAUACUGCGAGACUAGAGUAAUGGAGGGGGAACCGGAAUUCUCGGUGUAGCAGUGAAAUGCGUAGAUAUCGAGAGGAACACUCGUGGCGAAGGCGGGUUCCUGGACAUUAACUGACGCUGAGGCACGAAGGCCAGGGGAGCGAAAGGGAUUAGAUACCCGUGUAGUC